CCUGCAGCUCAUGAACACAUCAUAGAGAACCGACUUUAAACGACAAUGACAAUCAUUCACUAGACCUCUGAAACAAAUUUAUACAAAAGAUGUCCUGCAGCGGUAUUCCAGCAGGUUUUUUCUGUUGAGGGAGAGGAAUAAAAGGUGAUGCAUGCAGCAGAGUGUGGAUGUCCUGCAGGAUGCUGAGUAACCACAGCAACCUGCUCCACACUGUCAGCCUGUUUCAGUAGAUGGCCACAGGAUGGUGCCGUUGGGCAGUCGUAACCUUACCUGAGAGGUGGAGUGUCAGCUGGAUAGCGAUAGAUGCCUCAGCUACAUAACAGCAUGACGCCAGCCUUCCUUAAUGUAGAACAAGAACACAACUCAGAAACAAAGGAGGAGGAUGGAGGUCAUUCACCAGUUUUUCCUUCUUGGCAAUGCUUGUGACACCAUUUUAAAUGGAAAUUUAAUCAACAAAAAAAAUCUGUUGCUCUGAACAAGGAACUGUUCCUGCUUUGUUUUUAUACCAGGUCACACAGGAAGGGACUUUUUUCCAACCAAUCAACAGACUGCCGUGUGUCAACCUUCACCUUUUCAUUUGGUACCCCAACAGAAGGGUCCCAACAAAGUAGGAUAGGUCAGCAGGGCUGGAUUAAAAGUGCGGGGGCCCCUGAGCACAGAGUGUCCAACUCACUGGCUUAUGUACAUUUUCUUUCAUGUCCAUCAUGGCCGUCUAUUAAAUUUUAAUUCCUAUCUGUCCUCCUCACCUCAGUGCUCA